ensembl:lncRNA
ACAGAAUCUCUCUUUCAGAUUAUAAAUAUUUGAGCUGGAGUCUGUGUUUUAGGGGUGAGAAAAAAAAAAGUCUUUUUUUUUUUCUUCUUCUUCUAGAGGCAUAGAAAUUUUUCUGAAAGUAGGAGUUAGGUAAGAAUUCUAGAUAUUCAGGUUGGAUAUUAGGAAGAAUUUCUUCUCAGAAAGAGUGGUGAAACACUGGAAGGUGCUGCUCAGGGAAUUGGUGGAGUCACAGUCCCUGGAGGUGUUUAAGGAAAAGGUAGAUGGUUUUGUGGGACAGUGGGGACUUAGGGAUAUGGUUUAGUGGGCAAUACUGGAAGUAGGUGGAUGGCUGGACUAGAUGAUCUUAGAAGACUUUUCCAACCUAAAUGAUUCUAUGAUUCCCUAUAUUAGCAAUUUUCAAGUUUAUUAUUUCUCUUUAUGUUAUCAGGAAGAAAUUAAAACAAAAAUUAGUUCAGUAGCUGAUAACUUCCUUUAAUGACUCAGAUAAAUAUGAAACAAUAAAGUGACCUGAAGCUUACUCCUUUUCUGUCUGAACAGAACUCAAGACAGCAUAUAAAACAAUGCUGAAUUCUCUCCUCAUCUCACAGUAAUUUUGUUCAUGUUGCCAUGGGAAAUGCACUGCUCAUUAAUUAGUUUACUCAUCCUUAAUAUUUUUUGCAAUAGCUUGUAAACAGGCUUUUCUAAGUAAAAUCAAUCAUGUAUCAAGGAUCUGAUAGGUUGGCCGAGUCCUUGCUGGAGAAAAUGGUCAACACUUGAUUGAGAAACUGAAAGUUGUCACCUCUGCUAAUGGAAGAGAGAGAGGAAUAUGUCCAAAUCUUCCAGAAAUAAUUCUAAAAUAACAAGGCACACCAGAGAGGCUUUCGUACAUUUAUUUUCCACCUCGUAGUAGAGAAGCAAAAGUGGUUAUAGACACCUAAGCAACUGAAGCUGAUGGAAAAGACAUAUGGCAUUGGAUAUAUCGUGUGUUUGCCUGAAUGCAAAAUACUGAAGACAUCUGAAAAUGUCAUCUGUGAGUCUUGAAUGUUGGUGGGAACACCUCUCACCCAGAGAUAAUCUUUUGAAGUGCGAGGCCUCAGCUGUUUCCUCAGCACUUCCUGCUGACAUCGUCUUUGAUGCCAGCUCUGGCACUGCUGCUUUUAGCAUAAAGUGUCUUUAACGUGAGGCUAGAUUUUAUUCAUUGAACCUUAAACAACAUUUUUCUCUUGUUCUGUUUUUCCAACCGUAUGUAGAUGUCAUUUGUUUUAAUGCAUUUCAGGCUGUGACUAUUAGAAUAUAAAGUCCCAAAAAUGCUAAAAUGGGAUAGUAUUUUUUUCAGUUAUCGUGCAUUCUGCAUAAUUGCCCCUUCUGCCAGACCAUUAAUUACAAGCCAGCUAGUUCUGGCUCUUAGUGGUUGAAAACAUAUAAGAAAAUUGAAUUUAUAAGAUACAUUUACAUAAGCCUUCCUUUUUGCCUUUCCUCUUGUUGAGAAAAUGAACGCUAUUGAUUUCCUAUUAUUUAUUUUCUGCUGCUCUUAGCUUAAGAUAUUCAUAGAACCUCAGAGGAUCUAAAAUCACAGUGCUGAAAGAGUUAAGAAGGUUUUUUAAGCAAAGAAAAUGUGUGUCCAGACUUGCUGAAGCCUUCAAAAUGCCAUCUAAAAAUCAGUGUAUAGGAAUCAGCACAGGCUCAGCCACAGCACAGAAAGUAGUACUUUGAGAAGAGCUCUUUAUUGUUCAAGUACUUUAAAAGUGUAUUUUUAAACAUCUGGAGAUGUGAAAACUGUACGACUGAGACUGUUACGGGAAGAGGCAAGGGAUGGCAAGCAGCUGUGAGAUCAACAAUGUAACACCUGGUUUCUGACCUAGAGU